GGAAUUNCUGGGCGUAAAGCGGGCGCAGACGGUUANUUAAGCAGGAUGUGAAAUCCCCGGGCUCAACCUGGGAACUGCGUUCUGAACUGGGUGACUAGAGUGUGUCAAAGGGAGGUAGAAUUCCACGUGUAGCAGUGAAAUGCGUAGAGAUGUGGAGGAAUACCGAUGGCGAAGGCAGCCUCCUGGGAUAACACUGACGUUCAUGCCCGAAAGCGUGGGUAGCAAACAGGAUUAGAUACCCUGGUAGUCCACGCACUAAACGAUGUCGAUUAGCUGUUGGGCAGCAUGACUGCUUAGUAGCGAAGCUAACGCGUGAAAUCGACCGCCUGGGGAGUACGGUCGCAAGAUUAAAACUCAAAGGAAUUGACGGGGACCCGCACAAGCGGUGGAUGAUGUGGAUUAAUUCGAUGCAACGCGAAGAACCUUACCUGGUCUUGACAUGUACGGAACCCUCCAGAGACGGAGGGGUGCCUUCGGGAGCCGUAACACAGGUGCUGCAUGGCUGUCGUCAGCUCGUGUCGUGAGAUGUUGGGUUAAGUCCCGCAACUAGCGCAACCCUUGUCAUUAGUUGCCAUCAUUAAGUUGGGCACUCUAAUGAGACUGCCGGUGACAAGCCGGAGGAAGGUGGGGAUGACGUCAAGUCCUCAUGGCCCUUAUGACCAGGGCUUCACACGUCAUACAAUGGUCGGUACAGAGGGUAGCCAAGCCGCGAGGUGGAGCCAAUCUCACAAAACCGAUCGUAGUCCGGAUUGCACUCUGCAACUCGAGUGCAUGAAGUCGGAAUCGCUAGUAAUCGCAGGUCAGCAUACUGCGGUGAAUACGUUCCCGGGUCUUGUACACACCGCCCGUCACACCAUGGGAGUGGGGGAUACCAGAAGU
rnacentral:rRNA from 1 species